GCAAUACGUCACGAGCAAUGUGUCCAGCGACUACCAGUCAGCGGCGUGACGAUCUGACUGGGCUAAGAAAUUGGGGAAACCUGCUAAAUAAAUGGAAACCAGACAGACCUCAAUGAAUCUGCAGAAUUAUCCGUAGUGUGAACGGAGCCUUAAAGCUAUUUGCUUGCAACUAAGAUAGAGACCUCAGAGUGACGCCCGGAGGUCCAAGAGGAGUCGUCAGAAGACAAAACAUUUGAGGAAGAUACAGAUUGUAUGGAAGGACAACGAUCUGGGUUUUUUCCAGUUCUGAGUGAGAGAGCCGCAUAAAUGAACUUUGGCUAAGAAAGAAAUGGAUGCUAAAUAUGCUAAUAUAUACAGAGAUAAAGCUCAACUAACCAAUCAAAAUGUAACAUGCUGAUUUUGACGUCAUAACUAACCACCCUUUUUUGUCAAAUGUAACUAAAUGUACUUCC